UGUACACGUUUUAGUUUGGGUUUUACUACGGCCUCGAAACGAUUCCACAUAUUGAUAUAAAUAGGUAUAAUGACCUCCUGCUUUCUCAUAUUCCAAAUAUGGAUACAUAUACGUCAUUGGAAUGUUUCGAGGUGGUGGAUCUAGGAGCCAUUAGAUACAUUAUUCUGGUAUGAAUGGGGAGAAGAACGCCCGUUUAUACGGUGAAUGCUGAUGAGCAAGGCUCUAAGCGAAGAGAGUAUCAGUUGAGAGGGUUCGGACUCUUGCAAGGCCACAUUCCAAUCUGGCAUACAGCAUCCUUGGGAUUCUCAAAUAACACAAAAUCAAUCCGGUGACAGGCUCGACUCUGACUACACACGUCUAUACUUUGAGAAGUGAGAAUGGAGAGGAGAUUGAUUAAGCUGAUGUAUUGUAUAUAUACAGCUACUUCACGGGAAAUGUGGUCCUCUGGUUGCUCGAAUAGCGCAGAAGGAUGGCGUCUGUGUGGACUUCAUAUCCAGGAUUUGCAUCGGAUAAUCCGAAGCUUCUUCCACUUAUGUACAUCGAUUAUUAACGAUGCAAGCCGAAUUUCUGCAAAACGUGAGUCCCAAACUUCGAUUCGUUUGAAACAGAGAUGAAAUAGCAAACGCCUGCUAUUUUGUAGUGACUUUUGUUGCUUACUUCUAAUACAGUGCACGAUAAAUACACGCUUGAAAUCUGAUCUCUUCUCUGGGACCGCAAGCACUUU